CCCAAGUCAUAGAACUAGACAUAGACUUGCUAGAGAAUCACAACCAAAAAUACAUAAAGUAAACUACUCUAUAAUUACAACAAAAGAGACCUAACUAGAGCAGGUCCAUGUGCACCCUUGGUCGGGGCACUGCCGUGCGCGCAGGGCAUGGUGCGCGCGCGCACUGGGGCGCAGGCACUAGGCGCUGAGCGCUGGCACUGUAGCAGAGCUGCAUUGUCACUGGGCGCUGGGCACGCGUUGAGGCACGGCCAGCGCAGGGGCGCGAGCGAGGGACAUUAAUGGGGUGACAUUGGCAGAAGCAACCUUGUCAUUUAGGGCGUCCGAGACCACGGGGCUGUCCAUGGCGCUAGGCGCUGAGAGGCUUGCCAUGGCGCUAUAGGGCGCUCCCAAGGGGUCAUGGGGCAUGGCUGGAAAGCCGCCCAUGACAUAACUCAUAGCUUACCUAAGAUAUCGAGUUUACUGGUGUUAUUCAGAGCCAAUCUUUUGUUUCUAACGACAUCACAUGGAUAUGAAGUUACCUUUUGAGUUCCUUCCUGCGUUCCGGUAUUGCAAGAUAUGCAUAUUGUACAAGGUCUUAAUACACUUGAGUUUUCCUAUCUGCAGGAAGGAAUUUCGAAGGAAACACUAGUGUAAGACUGAAUACUUGAAUAUGCGUACAAAAAGGCCAGCGUGCUGCAAAUAUCCAUAUGAAUGCGAACCAGAAGAUGUCGUACAAAGUGGAGCAGCCCAAGAGGGAAGAGCAGGAUUUCCUAAUGAGCCAGUGACUCUCUUUGUUACCAAAGAUUCUUACAAGUAUAAGGUUGUCCUGCCGGAUGUCCCGAGAAACCUGUUAAUGUAAUCUGGAACAACCUCUCUACCCACAAAGGUAGAGGUAACGUCUGCGUACACCCGCCAGACAGCACUUGUGGGACCAACCUAGGCAAAUUGUUAGUUGAAGUUCAGUAUAAUGAGGAUUUCAAAGUAGGAGGGAUGGCAAGUGUUGGUGAAACAACAAGCACUGUGGCGCCAAUUACGCUUAAUAGAAACACUCGACGGAUAUUUCCUCCUGGUCACUUCACCAUCAGUUUCACUUUGCCAAUACCUGCUGAUUUUAACACCCCGUAUCUUAGAACAAAGGUUAGACUUAUAUCAUUAGAGUUUAGCAGAGAAUUUGAAAGUUUGUACGUUUUGCGAAAAUGGUCAACAGGCCUACUUAGAGCACCCAUAACCCCUUUAUUUAUUGAGAAUUUGAGAAACCGUAAAACAUAAAAGUUGUAGAACUUUGAAAUAUCUUUCCAACGGUAUCUUGUGAAGCUCAAAAGAAGCUCUGUGCUAAGAGUUAUGCCUGUUUUACUAUCACUGGUCGAAGCAGAAUUUUCAGAUUUUGGGUUACGUUUUUAGCCUUUUCCUACUCGAAUUGGGACUCCUUAUUUUAUUAUUGUAUGAAGUAAAAACGUCCCUUAACACUAUUCUAAACCCUAAUAGACUAUUCUUUUUCUUUCUACCUCCAUCCAUAAAGAACCUAGACACUUCAAUCUUGCAAGAAACUCAUUCUUGCAAUCAAGAAAAAUCAAGAAACCUUCAAGAAUUUGGUUUGGCAAUCUAGUUUCCUAAGGCUUCCUCCAAGGUAAAUAUUUUAAUCAAGAACCUUUGUAUUCUACAAGAUUUAUCAUUUAUAAAGACUAGAAUAAAUCCAUCCAUCCCGUUACCCUAUAAAAACCAAGAGUUGUAAAAAACGUUGGAGAAAACUCUAGUAUUUUUCUGUUGAGUUUCAUUCCGAUUAGCCAUAUUAAUUUGGUGUUUUCCGAUAAUCUAACCGUUGGAUCAAGCCUAAAUUUUAACUGAAUGUUCAUAACACAUAAUUCUAAAAUAUGAACGGUGAAGAUUGUAUUUGGAGGUCUGGAGAAGUACCCUUUGAUCCACGAACAGUAGCUACGAAAAUUAGUGAAAAUCCUCUCAAGGUUUCCAAAUUCAAAGCUUUUGGAAUUCUUCUUCAAAGAUUCAUACUUUUCUUCAAUUUUUGGAGCGAUUAAGGUAUGAAGAGUUACUAUCUACGUGUGGGAACAUCAUUGUUCUUCCCCACGCCUCAUAAUCCAUAAAUUAUGGUUCUCUGCGAAAACUAGGGUUUCUAUACCAUGCUCAUGAUAACCCUAGGUCCAUGUCCAUGAUUAUAUUAUGUAUGAAUUAUUAUAAUUCCAUCAUUGAGUUCUUAAUAUUUCUUUAUGAUUAUUGAGAAUCCGUCCGUAAUCCAUGAAAACCCAUAUCUUGUAUUCCAUGGGUUCUUGCAUGCAUGUUUUUAAAUAAAAAAUGCUUAUUUCAUGAAUAUCCUACAUGACUACAAGUUUUCAUGCAAUUGUAUUAUAUAACUAUCUUCAUGCCAUGACUCAAGAUACAUACAUGCUAAAUACAAGUUAUUUCAUUAAAAAACCAUGUUUUCAAGUUAUUUCGUGAAAUCAUGAUUACAAGACAAGUACAAGUUAAUUCACGAAAAUCAUGGGCUUCUUAGCCAAUUAUAUCAUGUUCAUGUUUUUGGGAGUUGCACGAAUUACCGAGAAGGCUCAGAUAGCCUGAAACUAGGACAAGGAUCGCUCCGCCCAAUUAGGACGAUUUCCUUAAUUUGACACUGAAUGGAUCCAUCAGGCACGUUACCACCUUAUACCCUGGCAAGGUAUGGGGGCUCUGCUGGUCCGACGAGGUACCAGACUCCACGUAUUUACGUGGUGAUAUCAUGUUGUCGGUUUAUGAAAUGCUCUCCCUACUUAUUAUGUUUUACUUAUGUUAUA